AAGACGCUAGUAAAACCAAAUUACACUGCUUUGUCAAGGCAGAAUUGUGGGUUAAACUCCCGCGCAUCUUA